GAUGACCAUGAACUGUACUUCCGGUUUCCGGUCGGCUCCCGCCCCGCGUAGCCAUCUUACAUUUCUGAACAAAAAAAAAAAGGGUGAGCCAGAAAGGCACACGGAGGAAUGGUGGCAAACAACUGAAAUAAAGCACAUGGAUGUUAUAAACUGACACGAUGUAACGGCAAAGUAUGAUAGAAAGAGUAUUAGGCGACAGGGAACACGGGCCGAGGCUCGCGACGUGAGGGAAGGGAAGGGAAGGGAAGGGAAGGGAAGGGAAGGGAAGGGAGGGAGGCUGCCUUAGUUAGCCCUUUGAGGCGCUAGCUGGAGAGAGACGGUUAGUCGUGUACUCGACUGCGGGACCGAGAGUUGCUUCGAAGGGAGGGACCGGCGAGAGCGAGUAGAAGAAAAACUGAAUAUGCCGGUGAAUAAACACUGAGUCUUUGGACCGAAGAGGACGGGAGACGCCGGAGACAUUCAUUGAUUGGAAGAGAGAGGCCGUUUGUUCCUAGGUCCUAGGAGGACUAGGAGGGAUCGUUUCGCUGUGAGCUGGCCAUGCCAUCUAGCGGAAGCUCCAGAGCCGGGAGCCUCAAGGACCCCGAGGUGGCGGAGCUCUUCUACAGGGAUGACCCCGAAAAAUUGUUCACGGACCUACGAGAGAUUGGCCAUGGCAGCUUCGGAGCCGUCUACUUUGCUCGUGAUGUUCGGAACAAUGAGGUCGUGGCCAUCAAGAAGAUGUCCUACAGCGGCAAGCAGUCCAAUGAGAAAUGGCAGGACAUCAUCAAGGAAGUCAAGUUCCUUCAGAAGUUGCGCCACCCCAAUACCAUUGAAUAUAAGGGAUGCUACUUAAGGGAGCACACUGCCUGGCUGGUGAUGGAGUACUGCUUGGGUUCUGCCUCAGACCUUCUUGAAGUUCACAAGAAGCCUCUACAGGAAGUAGAAAUAGCUGCUAUUACCCAUGGUGCACUGCAGGGCUUGGCAUACCUCCACUCACACAACAUGAUUCACAGGGAUGUGAAGGCAGGUAACAUCUUGCUGACAGAACCUGGCCAGGUGAAGCUUGGUGACUUUGGCUCCGCCUCCAUCGUUGCCCCUGCCAACUCCUUUGUGGGCACCCCGUACUGGAUGGCUCCCGAGGUAAUCCUCGCUAUGGAUGAAGGCCAGUACGAUGGGAAGGUGGAUGUGUGGUCGCUUGGCAUCACAUCCAUAGAGCUGGCGGAGAGGAAGCCGCCACUGUUUAACAUGAAUGCCAUGAGCGCCUUGUACCACAUUGCCCAGAACGAGAGCCCUGUGCUGCAGUCCAAUCACUGGUCAGAAUACUUUCGGAACUUUGUGGACUCCUGUUUACAGAAGAUCCCCCAGGACAGGCCUACCUCCGAAACCUUGCUCAAGCACCGGUUCCUGUGCAGGGAGCGCCCCAUGUCAGUUGUGCUGGAGCUGAUUGCGAGGACCAAGGAUGCGGUGAGAGAGCUGGACAAUCUGCAGUAUCGCAAGAUGAAGAAGAUCCUCUUCCAGGAGACACACAAUGGCCCGGCCCCCGAGGGCGUGGAGGAGGAGGAGGAGGUGGAACAGUACUUGCUCAGGACAGGCACGGUGAACAGCAUGGAGAGCUCCCACUCGGUGCCUUCCAUGUCCAUCAGCGCCAGCUCCCAAAGCAGCUCCGUCAACAGCCUGGCCGACGGCUCUGAUGACAGCGGAGAGAUGGCCAUGAUGCAGGAGGGCGAGCACACAGUCACCUCCAACAGCUCCAUCAUUCAUCGGCCCACGGGCCACGACAACAUCUACGAUGACCCAUACCAGCCCGAGAUGGAUGCCCAGCAGCAGCAGCCCUCGUCUGCCGCCCGCCGCCGUGCAUAUUACAGGAACCGAGACCACUUCGCCACCAUCCGCACGGCCUCUCUGGUGACCCGUCAAAUCCAGGAGCAUGAGCAAGGCUCGGCGCUGCGGGAGCAGAUGUCUGGCUACAAGCGCAUGCGGCGGCAGCAUCAGAAGCAGCUGAUGGCGCUUGAGAACAAGCUGAAGGCCGAAAUGGACGAGCACCAGCUGAGACUCGACAAGGAGCUGGAGACCCAGAGAAACAGCUUUGCUGCCGAGGCAGACAAGCUCAGCAAGAAGCACCAGGCCAUCCUGGAGAAGGAGACGAAAGCUGCCCUGGCCGAGGAGAAGAAGUUCCAGCAGCACAUCCUAGGCCAGCAGAAGAAAGAGCUUACUACCUUGCUGGACUCCCAGAAGCGGCAGUACCGGCAGCGCAAGGAGCAGCUCAAAGAGGAGCUCAGCGAGAACCAGUCGACACCGAAGCGGGAGAAGCAGGAAUGGCUGGUGCGGCAGAAAGAAAGCCUGCAGCAGGUGCAAGCGGAGGAGGAGGCAGGGCUCCUGCGCAGGCAGAGACAGUACUACGAGCUGCAGUGUCGCCAGUACAAGCGGAAGAUGUUGCUGGCCCGCCACAACCUGGAGCAGGACCUCCUGAGAGAGGAGCUGAACAAGCGGCAGACGCAGAAGGACCUCGAGUGCGCCAUGCUGCUGCGGCACCACGAGUCGACGCAGGAGUUGGAAUUCCGUCAGCUGGGAUCCGUGCAGCGCAUGCGGGCUGAACUGAUCCGCACGCAGCACCAGACGGAGCUCACCAACCAGCUCGAGUACAACAAGCGGCGCGAGCAGGAGCUGCGGCAGAAACAUGCCAUGGAGGUGCGGCAGCAGCCAAAGAGCCUCAAGUCAAAAGAGCUGCAGAUUAAACGGCAGUUCCAGGACACAUGUAAGAUUCAGACCCGGCAGUACAAGGCGCUGCGCAACCACCUGCUGGAGAGCACGCCCAAGGCAGACCACAAGGCCAUGCUCAAGAGGCUGAAGGAGGAGCAGACGCGCAAGCUGGCCAUCCUGGCUGAGCAGUACGACCACUCCAUCAACGACAUGCUCUCCACACAGGCUCUGCGACUGGAUGAGACCCAGGAGGCUGAGUAUCAAGUGCUGCGCAUGCAGCUGCAGCAGGAGCUGGAGCUGCUCAACGCUUACCAGAGCAAGAUCAAGAUGCACACGGACUCGCAGCACGAGCGCGAGGCCAAGGAGCUUGAGCAGAGAGUGUCCAUCCGCAGGGCGCUGCUGGAGCAGAGGAUCGAGGAGGAGAUGCUGGCCCUGCAGAACGAGCGCUCGGAGCGCAUCAGAACCUUGCUGGAACGCCAAGCCCGUGAGAUUGAGGCCUUUGACUCGGAGAGCAUGCGCCUGGGUUUCAGUAACAUGGCGCUGACGGGCAUCCCUGCGGAGGCCUUCAGCCAGGGCUACCCGAACCCGCCCGCUGCCGCCUCGGGGGGCUGGCCGUCCCGCCCCGUGCCACGCUCCGGCAGCCACUGGACCCACGGCGUGCACCCACAGAACUCGGGCGCUCCACACUCGUGGCGCAGCCAGAACAGCUGUGUGGAGGGGGGCGGGGCACUGUUCGGCAGGGCCGAGUCGGUCUCUGUUUCCUCCUCCCACGGUUCGGCCCGGGAAGGGGCUGCCUCUUCCUCACACUCCUCCUUGUCUUCCUCCGCUUCCCACCGCCAUCACCACCACCUCCCGCAGCAGCACCACCACCAGAGCACCCCGCACCUGUAUAGGGAGCGGGAGUGGGGGAGUGGAGGGAGCCACCUGUCCCAUGGCCGCUCCCACCACUUGUCCUCCCAUUCCUCCUCCCAGUCCCUGGCCCUCCUUCCCCCGCCACCGCCCCCACCCCCCAUAUCCCUGUCAUCCUCCUCCCCGCCCUCGUCCUCCUCCUCAUCUUCCUCUCAGGGGGGAUACGGGGGCAGCGGUGGUGGGAGCAGCCUGGUGGUGAGGGGCCCCAGUCUGAUGGCCCUGAGGAACAGCCCCCAGCCUCUGCGGAGAACGGCCUCGGGGGGGGGACCUGGUGCUGGGGGAGGAGAGGGCGGCCUGAGCCGAAGCACCUCUGUCACUUCCCACAUUUCCAACGGGUCUCACCUGUCCUAUUCGUAGGGGGUAGAUGGCAGGUUGUGGUGCUAGCUCUGGGGGGGGGAUGUUUGAGGCUGCUUGUCUGCUAACUUCUUUGAGGAGGAGGAAGAGAAGGAGGUGGUGAUGACUACAUCUGUGUGGUUGCUGUUUACAGAUUGAAAGGGUGAGGAAUAGCGGAAAACAAAUGGCUGAGAAUAAGACAAGGCCAAGUACCUUGGCUAUAACUCUUAAUGCUGUAAAUAGUGCAUUUGAAAGGAAGCGAGUACAAGUGUGGAUCAUGCGGUGAACAAAAUGAUCCGGAGCAACAGGUGUAGUAAGAAGAGGGAGAGAGAGGCCCCUCAUCUGCAGAAAUAAGCUGUUACGUGACCUUACAGUAAUAUUACACUACACUGCCAUCCAGUGGCCCAGGACGUCUACUGCAAUCGGCCCCACUGCCUUUAAGACCACUUAAAGGGAUACCAUGGCGCUAAUUUAUACGGGCCGACAAAAAAUGGCCUGUGUUACUUACUGGUGUUACAAUACUAGACUGCCUGCAAGGUGAUCUAUUCCGUUUCUGCUCGCGCGCGCACACACACGAUCUGGUGUUCUGACAGGACAGAAGUCGUGCGUGUGUGUGAAUAUGGAAAGGAUCGCUUCCUGCAUUCCAUAACAGGCAUACUGAGUAUGUAAAUACGGACUACCUAACCCAGAAUUCCCCAUGAAGCCCUAAGGUAGGAGUCUAUGGGCAGUGAAUGUUCAGGGCUGUAGUAUAUUAGAGAAAGUAUUAAUUGUGUACAGGACAGUUUGAAUCUUAGCUGUGUGUGUGUGUGUGUGUGUGUGUGUAUAUAUAUAUAUAUACACACACACACACACACACAUAUAUAUAUAUUUAUAGAGUACAGUACAGUAUCCUCAGUGGCACACCUACAAUUGGGCAAGUUUUGAGUCGUAUUUUCUCAUUCUCCUACAUGUAAUGGCAUUUUUGUUUAACGCUAAAAUAAAGGGGAUUGGGGAAUUCUGAACAAGUUGAGAUUUUUGUUUUGUGAGCAGUUGAAAGGAGGACCUUGUCUCUGUGCUCCGGUCCCCGGCCUCAACCGUCCAAGCUGGGAACCCGCGGUCCUUGAUCCAGGUCUUCGAAGCUGCUGGCGCAAGUCCUGCGGACUGGAGUAAAUUUAAACGUGCUCAAGUUGGGAGUGCUGUGGACCUGGGGACGGAGACGGAGGAGAGCCUUGCACCAGUCCCAGCGAAGCAUGGGCACUGGAGCUCUGCGGGAGCGGGCCUGCCGUGGGGCCGAAGCUGUCCGUACUUGUUCAACAAAGAGGGCAGCCCGACGGGACCGCUGGGAAGGGGGCCGUGCAGAAAGCGGGAAGCCAGGCUGUUUGGCCUCAGGAUUGAGGAGAGGGCUCCACAUGGAGUUCAUUGUACAGAAGCAUAAUUAACAAAUUAAAAAAAGUGAACAGA